UACGUAGGCAGCAAGCGUUGUUCGGAGUUACUGGGCGUAAAGGGUGUGUAGGCGGUCGGAUAAGUGUGGUGUGAAAUCUCCCGGCUCAACUGGGAGGGUGCGCCGAAUACUGAAUGACUCGAGUGUGGGAGAGGUGAGUGGAAUUCCUGGUGUAGCGGUGAAAUGCGUAGAUAUCAGGAGGAACACCGGUGGUGUAGACGGCUCACUGGACCAUAACUGACGCUGAGACACGAAAGCGUGGGUAGCAAACAGG
rnacentral:rRNA from 1 species